rnacentral:rRNA from 1 species
AGCAGCCGCGGUAAUUCCAGCUCCAAUAGCGUAUAUUAAAGUUGUUGCAGUUAAAAAGCUCGUAGUUGAAUUUUGGAUUCUUCCAAUUGGUCCAUCUUUUUAGAUGAGUACUGGUUGUGUGGGGUCUAUCCGCCUGGUGAUACGUAAUGUCCUUUAUUGGAUGUUGCGGGUAGUCAGGACCUUUACCUUGAAAAAAUUAGAGUGUUUAAAGCAGGCUUAUGCCGGAAUACAUUAGCAUGGAAUAAUAGAAUAGGACGAAGUUGUUUUAUUUUGUUGGUUUCUAGGACAACCGUAAUGAUUAAUAGGGAUAGUUGGGGGCAUUAGUAUUCAAUUGUCAGAGGUGAAAUUCUUGGAUUUAUUGAAGACUAACUACUGCGAAAGCAUUUGCCAAGGAUGUUUUCAUUAAUCAAGAACGAAAGUUAGGGGAUCGAAGACGAUCAGAUACCGUCGUAGUCUUAACCAUAAACUAUGCCGACUAGGGAUCGGGCGAUGUUGUUUCCAUGACUCGCUCGGCG